rnacentral:rRNA from 1 species
GAUAUGCCUAUUAGUGGGGGACAACAUCGUGAAAACGGUGCUAAUACCGCAUAAGCUUGGUGAAAUUGAAAAAACCAAGGAAAGGGGGCUUCGGCUCUCGCUGAUAGAUUGGCCUGCGUAGCAUUAGCUUGUUGGUGGGGUAAUGGCCUACCAAGGCGACGAUGCUUAGCUGGUCUGAGAGGAUGAUCAGUCACACUGGAACUGAGACACGGUCCAG